CCCUUAGAUGUCCCGGGCCGCACGCGCGCUACACUGAUGCAUUCAACGAGUAUUUCCUUGGCCGAGAGGCCUGGGCAAUCUUUUAAACCUGCAUCGUGAUAGGGAUAGAUUAUUGCAAUUAUUAAUCUUGAACGAGGAAUUCCUAGUAAACGCAAAUCAUCAAUUUGCAUUGAUUACGUCCCUGCCCUUUGUACACACCGCCCGUCGCACCUACCGAUUGAAUGGUCCGGUGAAAUCUCGGGAUUGUGGCCAGUUCACUUUAUUGGGAGUUGGCUGCGAGAACUUGCUUAAACCUUAUCAUUUAGAGGAAGGUGAAGUCGUAACA
rnacentral:rRNA from 1 species